rnacentral:lncRNA from 1 species
UCAUCGUACACCAACCUUGCUAGUGUGGUCUUGCCCAUACCACCCAUGGCCACGAUGGAAACUACAGAAAAAUUGGUUUCAAUGGGCUCAUCCCUAAGCAGCAUAUCAAUUAUAAUCUGUUUAUCAGCAUCCCUGCCAUAAACCCAAGGUUCGUAUACACGAGAUGUAGUGAGUGGCCUUUCCCAAGUAGACUGGGUUAUAGCAGCCACCUUGUCCAAACCAAGCCCAGCCUUUUGGGCAUAAAUAGCUUCUAAUCGGGUAGUAAUGUCCUUUAUCUUGCACCCCAUCUUAACAUUACGCAUACAACCAAUAGGAGUGAAAGUAGUACAACAAGUAGGGAUAAACUUGCGUACCUUGCUUGUGCUGCCUUCACCAUCAGCUUCCGCCAUCACCUUUCUUCUUAAAGCUUCGUAGGCAAACUCGUCCAAGAUGUCCUCCAUGUCAUAAGCCAAAUCCCUCAGAUCGCCCAGCCACGUUUUCACCAACUUCUUCGUGAUCUGCUUCUCCUCCGCGUCAUUCAGCACUUCAUGAAUCUCCAAUAAUUUUUCCUCCCAUAUUUUGAGCUCGGCGUUGAUUUUCUCUUGGCGUGCAAACUUGAGGAGAUCAAGGGAGCCCAGUUGGCUAAACAAAGCUUCAAGGGAGACAGAAAGAACAGCCUCUGCAACAACUUCCAUAGUUCGUUGGUAGGGAAAGAGAGAGGUAGGAUACCAAGUGGAAACAAGAGAAUCAGAAACAAUUGGUUUGCUCUAUCAAGGCUUCCCCAAUUAUCAAAGACAGUGGACUCUGCUCUUCAGAGUGGUGGGGCUCACACGUAAAGAAGAAGAAACUAAGGGAAAAGAAGAAAAUAAGUUUGAUUAGAGAGUAAUGUUUAGAUCAAAUUUUGUGAAACAAUUGGUUUGCUUGCUGUAUCAAGGCUUAGCCAAUUAUCAAAGACUGAAGGUAAGAGAUAAGGAGUUGAAGGCAACAGCUGGCAAGCUGGCAAGUGGGUCCAUUGGACAUGAUUAUUCAAGUCUUGGACCACCCUGCAAUUUUCCACACCGCACUGGAUGGUGGGUCAGAGAGUUAAGGAAAACGUCAGAAAACCAAACAUGAAGUGAUCGAAAGCGGGGCUCCUGUAUGAAAAUAUUACUAUGCAACAAUGAAAUUAUCAAAGAAUCAUGCAUUGAAAAAUUCAAAGAUUGAAAUUAUCAAAGAUCAUAUUAAAGAUUUGAUGUGAUGUUUUUCAUAUGUAUUCAUAUAUUUUGGGGAGAAUUGUGUUUUGGGCCCAGCUGGGCCCAAAAAUUAAGAAAUGGUCCAUCUAACUGACCUAAUUAAUGAUAAGGAUAUGAAAUGUUAACAGACGAAAAUGCCCUUUACAUUUCCAACUCAAAUUGUUGUAAAAUAAUGGGUUUCACAGCUGGUAAACGUGAAAUGCCAUGUCACCAGAGUGAAAAUUCUGAAUCUUCCUACCAUUUUCUCUCCCUCUGUAAACAACAUACGCACAAACGAUGCCGACCUUAACUGUCCCCCAAUCGCUUUCUUCAGCAGCCAAGGAUUGUGAGGAUUUCAGAAAAGCUUUUGUAGGUAUUUUAUCAACGAUCAUUCCUAAAUCCAAAUGAUGGGGGUCUGAAUUAUUUGCUGAUAUUUUGAUUUUAUCAGGUUGAGGCGUUUGUAGGUAUUUUAUCAACGAUCAUUCCCAAAUCCAAAUGAUGGGGGUCUGAAUUAUUUGCUGAUAUUUUGAUUUUAUCAGGUUGAGGCGUUUGUAGGUAUUUUAUCAUCAUCGUCCAGAGAGAAUAAAUGGGAGCGUUUGAGAUGGAGAAGGUGAAAGGUGGGAGUCCCUACGGUGCAGGAACUUACGCUGGGGACGGCUCAAGACAACCAUCUGAGCUCGAAUUGGAGCAAGGUUUCCACCAGGGGAAGUACAUUGCUGGCAUCACAAAGAAGCUCAAGGAAGCAGCUUAAUAUCCAUUCCCUAUUCUGAGAUUGUUUUGCAUUCUUCCAUUUUUUCACUUCUAGAAUUUAAGUUCCGUAUUUCUAUUGGAUUGCCAAAAAGCAAAAAAAAAAAAAAAAGAAUAAUUGUUGCUGUGUUUGGCAUAUGCUCUAUGUGUUGAAUGUAUUCAGAACAUUGGUUUGCUGAUCCAACUUGAAAAAUUGUCCUCUUUCUCCCCCUUUCACACUAAACCCAGAAUUUUAUAUUGGUAAAAAUUAAUCCUUGUCAUUUUCUAUUGGUUUCUGGGUAUAGAUUAGGUAGGUGAGAGGUCCUUUCUUUCAGCAGUGAAGGUUGGAAAUUUACUGGGAUUGAGAAUGUUAGCGGGGGGGGGGGGUUUAAUCAUACACACCACCUGGAUUCUACCAAUAAAGUCCUUCGGAAUGUAAUCUAAAUUUUGGCCUAAUCUUUGAUGUUACAGAAGGAAAGAAGGGGUGGAGAUGAUACACUCCACAGAUUGGACAGCUAACAAGUACCUACUACUAUUGACUAUGUAUUAAUUUCCUAUUAACAAGUAAAACAAAUGGCAUUGAUUUUGUUUUACUAGUUUCUGCUUGAAUUCCUAAAUUUUCUUUUUGAAUAUUUUUCUUGUCUUAGGCCACUCGACCCAACUUUUCCUUUCUCGUUUUUUUGAUUAGUAUCUGAAACAAUUCUUAUUUCGUUGAGCAAUGUAUAUUCUUGCAAAAAAAUGAAUUAAAAAAUUAAUUUGUGCCCAAUUAGUUUGGUGUAAAUGUCAUCCACAUUUAUCUCAUGUAAUUUUAAUUGGAAAUAUUUAGUGUUUAUGGGAAUAAACAGGAAGCUUGAAAUUGCUAAUCAUUGGCAUUAAAUUGAAGCAGGUUUAGAAAUGAAAAUUCUGGAUUAGGAGAGAAUGGAUGAGAAGGAGAAUUGCGGACAUGAGAAAAUAAUGUCUCCCUGUUUGGCUCUGAAGAAUUGGUUGGACGAGAAAAUGGUGAGUACUCUAAAAGUGAGCCACAGUUAGAAGCAUUUUGGUCUUCUUCAGAGUUUCCUCGUAAAUUGUAGACAAUUGUUAGGCCUGGUGCCACAUGUGAUGUUUAAAAAGCUGUUCACUAGUUGAAUGGAACCCAUCUUUAGGCAUGCUUUUUACUGAAUAAAAUAUAUGUUUGAAUAAUAAUUUGCCAUGCUUAACAUAUAAUCUUCUUUUGAAUUCUAGCUAGAAAGUUGGAAUUAACUUCGAAUAACUUCACAUUAAUGGACAAAUUGCUAUUAUUUAAUUUCCUUGUAUUGUUACAAAAGUAUAGGGAACAAAUUGAGACUUCAGUUUUUCCUUAUUUUAUUAACCAAAAGAUUGCAAUCAUGAUUAACCUAUGCAUGAGUAUACAUUCAGUAGUGGUUGUAUGGAAUUUAUGUCUGUGUACAAGACAUUUACACUAAGUGUACAAGGUACCUGUGCUUAAUGUACAAGGGUGUACAAAUGUACCUAUGUUGAAGUAUUUGCAAUGUUUUAAAAUCAUUUCCAUUUUGAAAGGAUGAGGAACAUUCCCUCACACACAUUCCUUGAUCACGCACUGAUCCCCUUCAAUUUUAUUACUUCAUACAUGUUGAUUGGAUGACCAACGACAAUAAUGAUGAAUAAGAACCUAUAUUGGGUUUCACUUCCCCCUUUUCCCUUCCCCAUUUUCCCUUAGGCAUCACAUUGGAACAUGGUAGCUCACCCAUAUGCACGCUAUUAGUUUUAGGUAUGUCAAAUUUUUGGCAUUGUAUAAGACAUUUACACUAAGUGUACAAUGCAAAUGUGGUAACUGUACAAGUGUGUACAAUGCUACAUAUGUUGAAGGAUUUCAAAUGGUUUUGAAUAAAUUGCUUGCUCAUUUUAUUUUUCUAAGGGUGACAUUCCUCAUAGACAUUCCUCAUAGACAUUCCUCAUUUACAUUUCUACACAUUCAUUGGAUGAGAUAGCGCGCUUAUAAUGAAUAAGAACCUCGAUUUGGUGUCAUUUUUCCCCUUUUCAGUGAGCCAUGACAUUGGAACGUGGUUAACCUGGCCAUAUGCACUAGUUCUGUUGUAUCUAUGUGGAAUUUCUGCAAGUGUACAAGGCAUUUAAACUAAGUGUACAAGGCCAAUGUACUAAAAGUACAAGGGUGUACAAGGGUGUGUAUCUUACUUUUUCCAAACGUGGGGAACAAUCCUGACACAUGUUGCUUGAUAACACACGCAUUGCAUGCAAUUUAAUUGAUGUCUACCAUGUUCAUUCAUCCUAUUAGCUUCCCUAGUAAUGAUGAAUAUGAACCGAAAUUAGGGUAACCUUUUGUGUCAUUUUCCCUAGUCCAUGGUAAUGGAAACAUUGGUUACCCACCCAUAUUCACUUGAAAAUAUGUACCUAUUAGGGAUUUGGUGACUGGACAAGGCAUUUACACUAAGUGUACAAAGCAAAUGUGCUAACUGUACAAGUGUGUACAAGGGUGCCUAUCUUCAAGGAUUUUAAAUGCUUUUGAAAAAAUUGCUUGCUCAUUUAUUUUUUCCAAGGGGGACAUUCCUCAUUUCCCUUCGUACACAUUCAUUGGAUGAGAUAGCGCGCUUAUGAUGAAUAGGAACCUCGAUUUGGUGUCAUUUUUCCCCUUUUCAGUGAGCCAUGACAUUGAAACGUGGUUAACCUGGCCAUAUGCACUAGUUCUGUUGUAUCUAUGUGGAAUUUCUGCAAGUGUACAAGGCAUUUAAACUAAGUGUACAAGGCCAAUGUACUAAAAGUACAAGGGUGUACAAGGGUGUGUAUCUUACUUUUUCCAAACGUGGGGAACAAUCCUGACACAUGUUGCUUGAUAACACACGCAUUGCAUGCAAUUUAAUUGAUGUCUACCAUGUUCAUUCAUCCUAUUAGUUUCCCUAGUAAUGAUGAAUAUGAACCGAAAUUAGGGUAACCUUUUGUGUCAUUUUCCCUAGUCCAUGGUAAUGGAAAUAUUGGUUACCCACCCAUAUUCACUUGAAAAUAUGUACCUAUUAGGGAUUUGGUGACUGGACAAGGCAUUUACACUAAGUGUACAAGGCCAAUGUACUAAAAGUACAAGGGUGUCUAUCUUACUUUUUCCAAACGUGGGGAACAAUCCUCACACAUGUUGCUUGAUAACACACGCAUUGCAUGCAAUUUAAUUGAUGUCUACCAUGUUCAUUCAUCCUAUUAGCUUCCCUAGUAAUGAUGAAUAUGUACCGAAAUUAGGGUAACCUUUUGUGUCAUUUUCCCUAGUCCAUGGUAAUGGAAACAUUGGUUACCCACCCAUAUUCACUUGGAAAUAUGUACCUAUUAGGGAUUUGGUGACUGGACAAGGCAUUUACAAUAAGUGUACAAGGCCAAUGUACUAAAAGUACAAGGGUGUACAAGGGUGUCUAUCUUACUUUUUCCAAACGUGGGGAACAAUCCUCACACAUGUUGCUUGAUAACACACGCAUUGCAUGCAAUUUAAUUGAUGUCUACCAUGUUCAUUCAUCCUAUUAGCUUCCCUAGUAAUGAUGAAUAUGUACCGAAAUUAGGGUAACCUUUUGUGUCAUUUUCCCUAGUCCAUGGUAAUGGAAACAUUGGUUACCCACCUCCCUCAUCCUAGAGGACAUGGUUUUUGCCUAUCCCCACAGCUGUAUAGCGAAGACCAUUAGAUCCCUAAAGCAUAAUUGUAUAUGGUGUUAGUGAACCACAUUUUCUAUAUUACCAAAUUGAACACAAAUAUUACCCGACAACUUACAAAGCUGAUAUAAUAGUAUUUAAUAAAUAAACGUUGAAUUGUUAAAACUUCAAUAUUAGAGAACUUUCCAACAUAACUGAUACAUGGUAACUAUAAUAAGGGACAUGAAGAAAUCACUUAAAUUUCAUGCAUAAUAUAUAUAUAUACUAACUUAAAAGGUAUCUGAAAAUGAAAAUUUCAUAAAAGGAUUUCAGAUUAUAUAUAAACAAGGGAGUAAUUUGUUCACACCAAUUCAAAUAUGUAAAAUAUCAUAAAAUGAAAUUUCACCCAUUUUGAGACCAACAUGCAUUCUGAUUUAUGUUCUGACAAUACAUUAAAAUUGCAUGACUAUAGAUUAUAAGUUCUUGUGGCACUGUACUACAGAAGCGAAAGCCUCUCAAAUAGUAUGUUGGCAACGGAAGAAUGCAAAAAACAACAAAGAUAAGCAAGUAUGAUGAACCAUACCGAGAGUGGGAGUGAACUGGCAGCAGAACCAUCUAAGCCAUUACCAGCCAUUGUUAAUAUUAUAACUGCAUCAUUGGGCAUAGAAAAGUAGAAUGUAAUGCACAGAUAAACUAACCAACUGAAUAACUAGACAGCAAGUAUAGUACAAUACUAUGAAAGUUCAGCUAAGUGAUAAGAAAAAUGCACGCAUCCAAUGAUGUGAGUAGGACAUACUUAAAAUAGGGAAGUGAAAGUAUACAUCAAGUUAAAGGAUACCACAUUGAAAGUGCAAUUUCAAAUUAAAUCAGUAAUGAAAGCAACUCCAAAUCAUGAAAAUUAAAAAGUAGUCUUAUAAAAAAUAAAAUCAAAAGGUAGUGCAUCGUGUCUAUAAUAAGGACAAUACAUAACAUCCAAAAGCGACAACCCUAUGACCAUAAAGCAAAUAAUGGAACAAUGAGGGAUCGUACACAAAAUGAAAACCUUACAAGCAAAGAAAUGAACAUGUCACGUCAAUGGAUUAUUACAUUUAGACCGAUUGUGACCUAUGCCAUUGCAUCGAGAGCAAUGAAUAGCUCUCUUAUGGCUAAAUUGUGACUCAAUACGCCUUUGUCGGGGUCUUCCUGGAGGACGUCUCACUUGCGGGGGUUGGAGACUAGGAAAUACGUUGCCUUGCCCAUCUUGCAAAGUCCCAGCCUCACAAACUUUAGGCAUGUUGUGUGUUGGUAAUGGUUGAAACUGACCUGAGUAAAUCAACUGUUGGGUGGAGACUUUAAAACAUGGGUCGAUAUAGUCAUACACAUCGUGUCUCAAUGUACGGAUCACAACACAUACAUGUGGACAUGGCAACUCGGACAUUUGCCAUGUUAGACAUGUACACUUAUGUUGCUGCAUAUCCACAACCAAAUAAACUUCUCCAGUAAAAACCUUGAACGUCCCACCCAAAUAAGGCAUCACAGUAAUUGGAGCAGAUCUCGUGAUAUUUGACAUUAGGUUUUCCUCUGUUUUGGGUCCAACCACGCUCUUCCACUUAUCUGUACCACGCAUAUGGGUGUCCAACAUGGCUACAAGCUUAUCCAUGUGCAUCAUCAGCAACGUAUAAAUUGUUUGGUGGCGUUCCUCUCUUAACCACGCAUUGAAGGACUCUGCAAUAUUAGUUGUCAUUUUAUCCCAACGUUUUUUAAGGAACUUUGACAUCGCCCAAUGCUCCGGACUAUUCUCCGCAACCCACCUUGCUAGGUCGCCAUUAAAAUGCACAAGUUUUUCAAACGCCUCAUUGUAGUCUAUAUCCAACCGAGCAUAUGCAAUGUUGUCUAAAAGCAACAAAACAUCUUCUUUCCCUUUCUUUCCCCUAAUGUUUUGCCUGUUGAAGAAGCUUGAAAAGUUCUCUUUCACAUGUCGAUAACAAUAGGCGUGAUUUUCUACCCCAAACAACUCCGAAACACUACGCAAUAUCCCUUGAUGUCUAUAUGAUAUAAUAAUUACUUCUUGACCAUCUAGGAUCCCCUUCAAUUUCUCCAAGAACCAAUACCAAUCCUCAUAAUUUUCUGAACCAACCACACCCAAGGCUAGAGGGAACAUUCCAUCAUCUGCAUCAUAUGCAAUGGCAGACAAAAGAGCUCCUUUGUAUGGACCACUUAGGUGGCAAGAAUCAAUAGCCAAUACCGGUCGACACCCCAUGGUGAACCCUUGAAUUGAAAAUGCGUGGGCAAUGAACAAUUGCUUGAAGUGACCUUCAUGAGAAGUGUACUCGGCAAUAGUUCCAAGGUUAAUUUCCCUUAGCCUAUGGCAUAACCAAGGCAAAUACGCGUAGGACGCAUGUGGAGAUCCAUAUACACGCUCUUUUGCCUUCUCUUUAAGAUGCCAUGCUUGGUUAUAAGUCAAUUGAACUCCAUGAUCACGUUCAAAAUCCUUGCAAAUUUGUCGAGGAAGGUAUUAUGGAGUUGUUUUAAACACGUCUUCAACAACAACAGCACCUCUCUUGGAAGAAACCCGCAUCUUAGAUGAACACUCAUCUUGAGCUAUAUGAUUAUGAUUAACUUGGUAAGUAUAAACUCGCAAUAUUUCAUUUUCUUCAACAGCAUGAGCUGUUAUCUUCCAAGGACAAUCCUCAACCGAACACUUUACUGACAUAUGUGUAGGUGAAUUUUUCUUGUACUUGUAUUGAAACCUUCCAGCUAAUGACAUUUGGUAUAUUGCAUUCCGAAACUCAUCUGCAUUCUUAAAUGUAUGUCCGGAACCUAAUAUUGCCUCACGAAACCGAUUCGAUUCUAAAAGGGUGUACUCAGUAUCUGCACAACGCGAUGCAAAACCUCUUGAUAACAUCAUAGAAUUAGGAUUUGCAUCGCAUGAUGCAUUAGACGAAGGAAACGUAGGAUGUGGACCUCUGCAUUUACAUUCAUAACCAAAAUUAGACUACAUAAUGCGUAAAAUUGAUAUUCAUCAAAUUUUAAAUAGACAUCCAAGUGAAAACGCAUUACCCAAGUGCCAACUGUGUAUUCGGUAUAUUUGCCUCUAUGGCUUCCACACCGGGUGACUCGACUAUGUACACAUUUGCAAAGUCAUCACUGUGGGAAACCACGUUAUCCAAGUCAUCCUCAUCUUCUAAAUCUUGGAUGACUCUAGGGUUAAACUUGAGGGUGUAGUGCAUCCUCAUCACAUGAAGGGAAAUGUCGAAUUUUUCUAAGACCUUCUGAGUGAAUUCUUCAAAUGUCAUUCCUUUAUAAAUGUGAAUACCUUUGCUUCUUCCACCAACAUAUUCCCAAAGGCCAUCAUUUUUUUGGACAAGUUUGCCUCCCACGAAAAUAUAACAGUAUAUUCUAUUUGUGGCAUCCAUCAACCUAUUGAAAUAAAGCACAAAUUUAUAUUGUUGAAUAAACAAUAAUGCAUAUUCAAUGUGAUCUUAAAAGUUUUUUCAUCUCACAAUAUACUAUGUUCCCAUACAAAAAAGUUAUAUUUUAAAAAAUGUAUAUACAAAAAAAUGUAACUUUAAAGUCUUAAAAAAUAAUUUUUGUUGCUCCUUUUGAUUAUUCUAACCAUUGUCAACGGUAAGAUUAUUUUAAGAUAGGCACUAAUAAACAAACGGUGAGUUGAACUAAGAUAUGAAGACCGAGCUUCUCUCUUCUCUUGGACUGAUAAAUACUACAUAACCUAAACAAAACUAAAAAUAAUAAUAAAAAUAAAAAACAAAAAUGAGAAAUGUAAAACUGAAAUGGAAAUUAAAAGAUUCAAAUUAAUAGAUUAAAAAAAAUCAUUAAAUUAAAAACUAAGAAAGGCUUUAAAAGGAAAAAAAAAAACGAAUCUCUAACUUAUUUUCCCUAUCAUUCUCCUUUACUUAUAUAUUCAUAGUUCACAUUUUUAUAAGCAAAAACCUCUCUCUCCAACUACUUUAGUGCUACCCAAUUUGACACUACUACUUACCUAUGCUAAUAAUCUAAUCGUGUCAAUACUUGGAACUUUAAGACAGAACAUCACAACAAUAUCUAGUAAAGUAGGAGGAUUUUGUGUCUGAUUCGACAUAAUACUGCAGAACAUAUAUAUAUAUAUAUAUACACCAAAAACAUUAGAAUUAUGGAACUAUAAGACAUUCAAUAGGAAAUAAUCCCCCACGUUUUAUUAAGCUCUGACCUAUACUUACACUAGGUAGAAAACAAAUUCUCAUUCUCACUCAAACCCUUAGACAAUUUCUGUUGGUACUACUAUAUCAGACUUGCCUACAAACUUAUUCAAAGAGAAUGGAGAUAUUUAAAUAUUAAUUAUAAAGCGUUGCUUUUCAAAAUAAUAUGAAGAGAUAAUAGCCUAAAAAAUGUAACAAAUACAGAAUUCUCUUCUAAACUAUCAUGUCCUACUUUAGAUGAUUCAUACAAAACCAUAAGCAAUAGUUUAACACAUUUAAGGUUUAAGGGUAAAAAAAACUAAUAGAUAAAAAGAGAUAAAUCUGUUACUUGUGCCUACAUCUCAAGCCAAUGCACCAUAAGAAAACUUUAGGGUUUUUAGGUUAUCCAUUUUCCCUUUCCAUUUUUCCUCUCCUAGUUUUCUAGCAACCAAUUAAACAAUUAUAAAUUAUUUUCAAGUAUAUAUGACAAUUUUCACAAAUAUUUUUUUGAAUUUAAAAUAUACAAAUACCAUGAAAUAAAAAUCUAAAAAAAAUUACAAAAAUAUAAUCAGAUCGAUUAAGCCAUGAAUCAUGAGUUGCAGGUAAAGUGCAUUUUCUGUAUUCUCAAGGAUUAAAGAAAAAAUUAUGGUUCAAAAUUUUUCCUUUCUUUUUCUCAUUACUUUCUCAGCAUCCGAAUAAUAGUACCAAACCAAGAAGUCAAUUAUUGAAUGGGAACACUAACUUGAACUCCGGAGAUCAAGUUGAACACAAUUUAGAGAUUUGGACUAAGAAAAUUUAGGUCGAGAUUUAGGCAAUCUACUAACCUUAAAUAUGCAACAAGAGAGACCCAACUGAAAUCCAUACCUUAUUCAAAUUCUCGAGAGAGACGGAUGCGAGAAAAAAUGAAAGAGCCACAGAGAUUGAGAUGCAAGCGAUGGAGGUGCUCGGGAGGAAGAGAAGAAAACGACUUCUAGGCUUGAAAUGCUGAAGAGACCAAAAUUUAGGCAAUCUACUAACCUCAAAUAUGCAACAAGAGAUACCCAACUGAAAUCCAUACCUUAUUCAAAUUUUCGAGACAGCCGAAUGCGAGAAAAAAUGAAAGAGCCGCAGAGAUUGAGAUGCAAGCGAUGGAAGUGCUCGGGAGGAAGAGAAGAAAACGGCUUCUAGGCUUGAAAUGCUGAAGAGAGACCAAAAUUAGGGCAAAAUUCCAAAAAGCCACAGAGAUUGAGAUGCAAGCGAUGGAGAAACUCGGGAGGAACAGAAAAAACGGCUUCUAAGCAGAGAAGAAAAUGACUUAUAGGUAGAGAAGAAAACGGCUUCUAGGCAAAAAAGAAAUCGGCUUCUAGACAGAGAAGAAAACGGCUUCUAGGCAGAGAAGAAAAUGACUUCUAGGCAGAGAAGAAAAUGGCUUAUAGGCUUGAAACGCUGAAGAGAGCAAAAUUAGGGCAAAAUUCCCAAGAGCCGCAGAUGAAGAGAAGAAAACGGAGGCUUGAAAUCUGAAGAGACAUAGGGCAAAAUUCCAACCUGGCUUUUUUUGUUUAUUAUAUUUUUUUUUUCAUAAUCAGCAAAGGUUAUUUAUGGAAUUAAUAAAAGUGCAUAUCCUUCUUUUUAAUUUUGACACUUCCUAUGGGUUUUCAGCUUAAAUGGGUCGGUUAGAUGGGCCAUUUCUUAAUUUUUGGGCCCAGCUGGGCCCAAAACACAAUUCUCCCUAUAUUUUGUUAUGAAUAUGAGUGGAUGUUCUAGGUUUGACGGUGGAAAUUAAGGUAGAAUAUAGAUAAGAUUUUAGAGUGUGGACGUUUUGUCAAAAAAACAUUAUUGAAAUAUGAGAUUUUGAAAAUGACCAAAAGAUAUCUAUGAGUAUCAUUUAUUCACACCGAAAAAAUCAAUAUAUUGGCAAAAAAAUCAAUGAAGUUUUUCUUGCCUUAGUCCCAACAUCCACUUGUGAUCCAACAACCAAAUUUAAAUCUUGAUUGGAAACCCUCUUUGAAAAUUACAUGCAUGAUCCAAAACCUUUUCCUUCAAUAGCAUAUAGGAAUAAGUUAUAAAUACAUGGGAGGAACUUACAAAGAUUUAACAAAUAAUUAGUUUUAAGGACUCCACUUCCAAGCAGGCCAUGUGCUUUUAAGGAUUAAAAAAAAAUUGUUUGACACAUUAAUAAGAACAAAUAAUUUAAUGUUUAAGAAUAUUUAAAUAUUAAUAAAAAUAAACAAUUUAAUCUUAAUGAGAUUAUGUUCUAUUUAAAUUUAAGACAAAAAAACAAAAUAGAUAUAACUUUUUCACUUCUUAUAUUUUAAAAUAUUUUUUAAUUAAGCGUCCUUAAUAAUAUUUUUAUUUCAUGGAUGAUUGAUUAACUUUUUUUUUAAGAAAAAGAGAUAUUGUUAAAAUCGUUUUUGAAAAAAGACAAUGAAAUAAAAACUGGAAUUCGAAUUAUUAAAAAUAUUAUAACCUUUAAAGAUAAAACGAAAAUACUAAGCAUCGAGUGAUAAAAUUUAGGUUAUUAAAUUAAAAUAUAAAUAAAUUAAAUAAAGAUAUAAAAAUACAAAUAAAUGAGAAUACCAUUGGAGACAUGCCAAAUAAAAAAUUUUGAUCCCACAGUUUCUUUAAUAUUAAAAGAACGUCAAUUUUUUAAUAAUCUCUUUCCAUCUUUUGGUAAAUGCCAUAGAAUAAAAUAUAACCAUAAUUCUAUACAUUUCUUUCACGGCAGCGCUGACACAUUGGGUGUCCGCAAGUGGACGUUGCAUGCAAUUAUUGGUAGGAGAUGGCCCGGAUAGGUGGCAAUUAUUGGGGCUCUUUUACUUAAUAGAAUAGAUUUAUAAAAUAAUUUUAAAAAUGACUUCGAAGCCUAUGAUAGUUGUUAAAUGUUGUUGAUUUGAUUUUAGUUCCGGUAAGAAAUCCUUUUUUAUUCUAGUAUGAAAUUUUUUUUAGAUAGUGAUUUACUCUCCAUUAAAAAUUCGAUUUGAUGAUAUUAUUAAAUUAAGUUUAAAAAGAUUUGUUAAAUGUAAGAUUUUUUAUUAAGGUGGAGUUGGAUUUGAAGUUUUAAAAUUCAAUUAAAAUGUCUUAAUUAAUUUUUGACAACUUUAAGAUUUUAUUUUUUAAAAAUUUAUUAAUUAAUUUAUAGAAAUUAAUAUUUUAUUUUUUAAACAACAAAUAUUUUUUAAUUAAUUUUUGAAAAAUUAAUAUUUUAUUUUUUUAAGAAAAUUCCAUUUCCAACCAUCUAAGCUCUUAGGUCUAUAUAUAUAUUACCUAAAUGUGUUUUUGGGUUGGAUGCUUUAAUAGAAUCAACCUCAACUUGCUCUAUCAUUUAUAAACUCUCAGCAACGAAUUCACUUAUCAAACCCCAUACUUUUUUGUCUUCAUAAUUAGUAUGAUGAUUUUCCACAUAAAAUUGAUUGUCUUGAAUGUGAUUGUGAUUUUAUUAUUUCUAUGGUUAUGUGAAAUUCACAAUGUUGCCCUUAGCUUUUGUGAAUAAGUCUGUUAAAUUAUCGUUUAAUCUUACUUUCUGAAUAUUGAUUUUACUACUCUUCUGGAGUUUAUGAAUAUAAAAAAACUUGAACAAUCUAUACUUACUUUAGCUUGAGUUUUUUUUAUUUAUUACAAUUAUGACCUAUAUGAUUCUUAUUGAUCUCAAAAUUAAAUUUAAAAGAUUAGGCAAGAGAUUAACCUACUUGCAAUUUUCAUAAUUAUAGUUGACAAGGUUAUGAUAUUUAUCAAGAUUAACUUAAAUGUUAGGUAAGACCUAAGAGAACUUACUUGCAAUUACUAAAUUUGAGUUAACAAAAUUAAUCAAUAGAAUUAAUCUGUCAUCUUUUUGUUUUUAUAAUUGUGACUGCCUUAGUUCUUAUCAAUAUGAAGAUUAAAUUAAAAGAUUAGGUAAGAGCACCCACUUGCAAUUUAUUGAACCCGAUUAAGCAAAAGAAGUUUCACUUAUUUCUCUUUUUAUGAUUAUGGUUGGCAAGGUUCUCAUCAACAUCAAGAUUAUGUAAAGAAACCUAUUUGCAACUUGUUAAAUUUGACUCAUUCAAAAGAUUAGUCAAGCAAAUACACUUGCAAUAAUUUACAAUCAAAAUUCACUUUAAAAUGAUAAAUAUAAGCUAUCUCUUUUCUGGUUGCAUUGAACUUAUUGAUAAUUAGAUUUAAACAUAAAUAAAUAUAAUUAUUUAAGUAUUAAUUAAAAUUUAAACAUCACUAAUUAAAUAAAAUAGUAUAAAUAUAUAUAAAAGAAAAGCAAAACAUUGGUUGCCUGGCUGCUAGCAAGUGGAGCCAUUGUAGGCAAUUAUUGGUAAAAGAUCAUGGGUGGUAAUCAUUUGGGCUCUUUUUAACACUUUCCAUGGCUUUAAAUGCCUUUUUCUAAAGUAAAAGUUAGAACGAUAGAUAAGCAUUCAAAGAACUACACUGCCUUUUUUUUACAGCAAAAGUUGGAUGGAUAGGCAUUCAAAUAACUUUUUUUUUUCCUUGUAACUUCUACUUGCUUAAUUUUUUUUUUUUUUUGUUAAUUUUUCACUACAGAAAAAAAAAAAAAAAAAAAAAAGUCAUCUUGUUAAAACCCUUAUGCAAUUUUCUAACAAAGAGACAUGAGUGACAAUGGGUUAUAUUAUUUUGAGUUCAUGUCGUGUUAGAAGUAAAAAAUAUUAAAAAUUUCUUCAACCUACACAGACUCUUUUAAUUAUAAUCAUUUUCCUUCUUUUUUUAUUUGAUUUUUAUAAAUAUUAAAACUCCACAAAUUGUAUUGUCUUAAAACUUCCCUCUAUGUAAGAAAUAGACAUAGAUAGAUCUCUGGUAAUUCAACUGAAAUGUUGUAAGGACAAAAAAGCAAGUGACUUCUGUAAGCAGGAUAUGAUGCUUGUGAAUGGGACAAGGAAGAAGGUUGAAGGAAGGAGAGUAAACAAGUUUUCCCUUUAAUUUAUAUAGAUUGGUGAUUAGGCUGAAGUAGAGACACCUUGCUACCUCGCUGCAUCUUCAAAUGAUCAUGUUGAUUAACCAUGAAUUGAAAGCCAUGCUUUGCCUGCGAAGUUUGAUUAGAGAGGAAUCUUUAGAUCAAAUUUUGUGAAACAAUUGGUUUUUGAUGGAAUCCUGAAAGUGGAUUACAUAAAUUACUUGGUGCCUUCUUUUGGUACAUGAUACUCAUGAACUGAAUGUCAGCAUGGUAUUCAUGAAUCAAGUUUCAAAACAAUUGAGCUCAUAUAGAUCUUGCAUAACUGGAAAUCAAAGUGAAUCUCAUGUUGUUUUUGAUGGGUUUAGAAUAAAAUCAAUGACAUCACUAUGGCCUUUGUCAAUGACUUGGUUUUAAACUCUGGUUCAAAAUAUCCACUGCAAUGGGAUAAUGACCUUAACAUCCAGUGAUGACUUCAUUUUAGACUCUGGUUCAAAACAUCCAUUGCCAUGAGAUAAUGGCCAUAACAUCUGAUGGACCUCGUUUUCCCAAAGACACGGAAAUGGAUUAGGUAGGGGUGACUCUGAAUCACUUGCAUUGAGUCUACUUCAUGUGAAGUCCCCAAGGUCAGUUGAAGGUUGUCUGGUGAUCAGCUAGAUAAUUCCAAAUACUUGACCCGAGGCUAGAUGCUUGAGGAGGGUAAUUCAAGAGGCCCAACUGUUGUAUAUUGUCUCCCCACAUGGCAAAACCUGUUUUAUCACGAUGAUAAAAAAAAAAAAAAAAGUGUUUAAUUAAGGUAGAUAAUGCAACUUCAGCCAAUAGGGUGUGAGACAGCGAGAGGUGAAGAUAGAGUAACAUACAUUUCUUGUCCAUGGGAUGAUGGCCAUCUAGUAUAUACGAACUUCAAUUUUUAGCCACAUUGAAGAAAGUUGGCCUCUCAUUAAGACACUAUGAUCACAUUUAGAAAUCUUAAGGAAUUUUGAGAAUGUAUCAAUGCCUUGCAUAAUUCCAUUUAGAAAUCUGAGUCCCAGAAAGGUGUUGAUGCCGAAGUCCCAAAAUUUAAAAUUUUGAGACUCUAUUAUUGUCUAUUCUCCUGCCACAGUAACAAGAUUUCUUUACAAUGAACAGUCAUUAUAAUUUCACAUAUGCUAAUGCUAGCAUAAGCCACUUUGAGAAAACAAUUGAUCCUUGGAUUAUUACCAAUCUCAAAGGAAUUGAAGAAGGCUAGAUGGUCAAGGUCCAAAGUUCUUGAUGACAUUUCUAGUUCGCCAAUCGAUGACAAUAUCAUACGUGAAACAAAAGACAUGAAGUCUGAAACAUUCAAAAUCAAAAGCAUUUGUUUUAAUUCUUUAGCAAGAAAAAUAACAUAAUGGAUCUUAUUUGUAUGAUUAUCAAGUUUAACAACACGCCAUUGCCUGACUCCUUAAUUGGCUUCCAAGAUUUAAAUAAUUCAAAGACACCAUUAUGUUUAAUUCCAAUAUAAAAGACUAUCAAAGAAGGGGUAUAUAAAUUUGCUUGAAAUUUAUGCAAGAUAACCAGUCUGAUUGUGGGAGAGUUAACAAACCUCUAAUUUUUUGUCGACAAAAUCUCGUUAAUUGGAUUCCUGAAAAACGUAUUAAAAAUAAGUAAACACUCAUCAUAGUUAAAAUCCAAAUCCCGAGUCAAAAGAAGAUUGUUUAUUGUAGAACUAAACACAAUUACUAAACCUUAUAAUGCAAGAACGCAAGAUUGUCCUCGAACACAUUUCCCAUCUUAUCAUAUUCAAUUUAUGGCCUUCCUACAUAACUGCAUUUUAUAUUUGAAAGGUAAAUUAGACAUUUUUUAUGUGAGUAAUAAGAAAGUAAAUGCCAUGAAAGGCAAACCAUACAAGAAAAGAAGUUGUAAACAUAUAAGAGUGCUUACUAAUCACUGUUGAAUGAUAUGUUAAUUGUCUCUCUUUGAAUCUACAAGAGUUUAUAUUUUGUGAAUCAUAAUAUGCCACCAAGAAAAAUGCCUCCCAGGGUUAAACCCAUAAACACCUUGAUGGAUUAGACAAAGUCUCGUACUAAGAUGCGAAAUCAAUUUUGAUAUUAUUUAUAACCUUUCAAUCUCUUUUGUGCGGACAUUGUCCACUUUGAGUUCAAUGAAUCCUCACAACCUAAAAAUGUGUUUAUCCUAUUGAAUAGAAACUCUCUGUAUUUAUGAUGUUGAUUUAUAAAGAUGAAGAAAUUGUUUUAAAUUUUGUUUUACGAGUCAAUGGGACCACGAAAAAGGAAAACAAAAAGGAAAAAGUUAGUAGAUGUUGACUAAAAUGGAUUAAAAAAACACACACACACACACUCACAAAUAUUAAAAAUUCCUCAACCGAUUGAGAAAAUUCCUUAACCGGUUGCCACUGGUUAAAAAAAUCUUCAACCAGGCCGGUUGAGAAAAUUCCUCAACCGGUUCCCUUUAUUCCUCAACCGGUUGCCACUGGUUAAAAAAUUCCUCACCCGGUUGUUACAAUUCCUCAACCGGUCUCCACUACCUUCACAAGUCGUACCUAUGAUUCACACCAUAACCUAUAGUCUUACAGGUACUAACUAUAUAAUUUUUAGCAUAGAUAAAUGAAUAUAUAUAUAUAGGAACAAAAAAAAAUCUAAUUAUCUAAAAGAUCAUACAAAAUCAAACAUGUCGAACAUGAAUGAUGCCUAUAUAUUACAAUUUCAAUUUGCAGACCAUAUUGAAAGAAGAGUAUAGAAAAUCAAAAUAAAACGGACUUAAUGAUGAAUAAUGUAUGGUCAUCCAAGGUAAGAACUUCCCAAUAAACAUGACGAUAUGUGGAGAUGGAAAUUAUAAAUAUUAGAAAAACAACAAAUAUCAUAAUAAUAAUUUUUCCAUUGCUCAUGUCGACAUCUUUGUACAAAUAAUAGCGACGAUGGUUUGCUUUUCUCUAUUGCCUCCGUGUAAAACUAAAUCACUUGUUAUUUCCCGACGUAGUUUAACAGAAUUACAUAAGUCGGAGACCGUCAUGGAAUCACCAUUGUUGAAUGUCUGCAUAUGUUUAAUGACAUGCACUACACAAUUCCACCUAAGAAAAAUAAAAGAAAAGAAAAACAACUUAUUGAAUGGUUGUAUAAUUAUAGCUCAGAUAAACAAUAGUAAUGUGAGUUAUGUAUUCAUACUAACCCAUUCUCUUGGGUCGGAAUCGAAGGAGCCCAAUCAAUGGAGAAUUGGAAGACAUCUGUCCCUAUGUCAUACAGUUUGAAGAACGUUUGACAAAAUUCAACCUAAUUUAUUAUGAAAGUGUUAAUAAAUAUGGAAGAGAGAAAAAAACAGAAUAAAAGGAAAAUAUAAACAUUAAAGCAUACCACUGUUUUGACACUCUGAAACUGGAACUUGUCUCGAUUCUUCGAUUGUAAUGAAUCCAAAAUUUGGAUAUGAGAGUUUUUGAAGUCAAUGACGCACAAAUACCAAUGACUAGGGCAUUCGUCAUGCAUUGGAAUAAAUAGUUGUAAAGUUAGAAAAACAAUAUAUAUGAGUUGGGGCACAAAAAAUCUACUAUAUUAUAGGUGAAAACAAUAUCUAUUCUAAAUUUCAUAUAUGCAAUUAAACAUUAGAAAUAAUUACUAACCUUCUCGCAAUCAUCUAAUUCGCUAAUGUACUUACUCCCGAUGGAUGUUUUUCUAUCAAAAAAAUGAUGAGGAGUCCCGCACAAAAUCAUUUGCUAAUAAUAAAACAUAAUAUGAACAUUAGUAUAUUGUACUUAAUACGUAAGUAAACAAGAAGAGAAAUAUGAGCUUACUGAAAAUGUCGUGGGAAGAUAACAUCUUAUACUUGCAAUGCCUAUAAAUUGCCUCUGAAAAUAAUUUAGCUUUGAGGCUUCUAGUUUUAUUACCUGUUGUUAAACAAUAACUUCAAUAAAUUAAUUUAAUUAAUUUAGCACACAAUUGAAAUAAAUGAAGUAGGUACUUACAACAUCCAUCAAAUUUUGUCUAGGGCGUAAGCACUCAAAAUCUCCACGAAUUCCAUGUUCAUGAUCAAAGUUAACAAGAAGCUCACUAAAAUAAUAAUAUGUUAAAACAUUCUUUACUAAAUUGGAAGCAUAUGAAGGCUAAAAUUGUAACAAGACAUCUAUUAAUAUUCUAGACACUACAAACCUUUUUAACAAUCCUUUAUUGAAAACAUAAUUAGCAACAAGAGAUUGAAGUACAUUGAAUGAUUGACCAUCCACCACGUCUUCACGAAUGGACAUGGGGAUUGACUAAAUUGAAAACAAGACAUAAUUAUUACCUAUAUAUGUUGAGUAUCCAAAAUAAGAACAUGAUAUUAAACUAUUUGUAUUAAACCUCUGAUGCUUGACGUUUUCCCAUCUUCCUUAAAUUGUGUACAAACGGGGAGACCUUGAAUUUACUUGGUUUCCUCUCCCUUAAUGUACAUGUUUUCAUGACAUGAUCGGGAUAACCACAUAGUGCUCAUAAUGGUUCCUAAUAUGGAAAAUACCAUUAAUAUACAUCUAUUUACUAUGCAAUGGUUAAGUAGUUGUAAAGAAAAUAUUUUUUUCUUUUAUAUGAUACAUACCUUUCCAUAAUCUCUUCUACUCCUUUUGAUUGGAAAUGGUAAAAUAUCUACAUUUUCGUCUGGAAUGAUAUGCACUUCAAUUGAUGUAGCACAUGCAUCUUCAUUCUUUCCAUUCAAGUCCUCAGUACAUAACUUCUCAAUUGUAAAGAAAAUAUUUUUUUCUUUUAUAUGAUACAUACCUUUCCAUAAUCUCUUCUACUCCUUUUGAUUGGAAAUGGUAAAAUAUCUACAUUUUCGUCUGGAAUGAUAUGCACUUCAAUUGAUGUAGCACAUGCAUCUUCAUUCUUUCCAUUCAAGUCCUCAGUGCAUAACUUCUCAAUUGACAAAGUGUGAACAUAAUGUUCAUUUCCAUUCUUAUUGUCCUUAUCUUCAAAACUUCUCUCACACGAGAGAAUGUCAUUCUUCGUUCCCUUGUCGUGCAUUCUCAAAGGUUUUUCGCUUGAUCCAACGAAGAGACCUUUCAAUGUAGUAUAUUUCUCCUCAAAUUCAGUCAAAACUUUUUCACACCUACUACUUGGACCAUGAGACAAAUCAAUUAGAUGUGUCUUUAAUUGUUCAAAGGUUUUAUCCAUCUCCAUUAAGCUCCCACCGUGUUCCUAGUGAUAUAUGGGAACUUCAUUAAUAACAUAAUAAUACAAGGGUUCACUACUAAUAUUGAUACUCAUGAUGAAUAUUGUAAAACGUACUCGUUUAAUAACAUCUUUAUUUGGAUUGAUUUCAAAUUUCUGCUCCUCCUCAUUCUCUCUCUCCAUUGUCAUCGCAUUUCUAUCAACACAAUCCCUUAUCUCAUUUUGUAUCACCCAUAUUUUGACCUACAAUAUAUUCAUCAAAAUAUAACACAUAUCAAAUUAAAAAUCACUAAAAACUUAAACCAAUAUUAAAAGACUUUUGAAACUAUAACUUACAUUGUCAUUUGCAUAUCCACCGACUUUUUUCAAUCUUCGUUUCAUGUCCAGUACUUGAUCAUCUCCCCAAGCAGUAAUCCGAGGACAAGGUCGAGUAUAUAAUGGUAGAAAUUUCUCUUCGAACGAUAUAUGCUUGUGGUAGAAUAACUGCAAUUAUAUUUGACAUACAUAUAUAGUUAACAAAUUUUAUUAUAACAAAUUCGAAAUUCACUAUGAUGUCGAUUAAUUAUAAGGACAUUACCAUUAAAAACAAUAAGCAAUCGCAAACCCCACUUUGUUGUUUCAUCUUAAACUCUUCAAUCCCAUGCACAAGAUAAGACAACACAAAUUCAGCCCAAUUCAUCUUCUUUAUUGAAUCAAUGUCUUCCACAAGAUGUAAGAAAGAACGUUUCACAAAAAACUUCAUUGUUGGGCACAAUAAUGCACCCAACACAAAUAAUACAAAACGAACUUUGAAAUCGUUUCCACCUUCUUUAUCCUCCCUAAUUUGAUUUUCUAACAUCACUAAUGGCAAUUGCCCCUUUUUAUCACAAUAUUUUUUACAUAAAUCAUUGUUAUGGCUAACAUCUUUGUUCAUGCCAAUCUUCAACCCUCUUGCCCUCAAUCCCAUAAUAAAUUCAACAUCAACGGAGGAUAAUUUGAUACAAGUAUUAUACAACUUUCACAUAUAAGUGUUCGGGUUGAAACUAUUUAUCAACCAAAGACAUAACCCAUGAUCAAUUUUCCUACAUCGGAGUUGCAAGAGGCUACCAAAACCUAUUUCUUCUAUGGCUGCUCUUUGCUUUGGUUCUAAUUCUUCAAUAACUCUAAUCACUCGUUCGGGUGAGCAUUGAGUCUGAAGAUAUAACUGAAAAAAUACACAAACAUCAAACAUGUUUAAAUUAAUAUAAUUUCCAACAAAUACAUAAGUAAUGAAAUUAAAUAUUCAUUACAAAAAAAUUGCCUUUGGAGCCACACCCUUUUGAAGUCAAUAUUGUUUUGAACUUUCUUUGGACUUUGCCAUGAAAUCUUAUUUUUCUACUUUUGAAAGUUCAUUCCACUUCUUGCCCAAUUUUUUCCUCAACUACAUUAAUUGGUCACAUACUUUAAAUUCUAAUUUUAAAAUGUAAUUAUAUUAGACACAACAAUAUUACUCCUUACAUCAUCAUUUAUCUUAACUCCUUUAUCCUUCUCUUUGAUCAUGACCAAUUGAUCGUUACUACAAAACAAUUUCAAACAAAUUUAACUAUAAUAACCACAAAAAAAUACAUUAAAAAACAUAUUCUUUUACAUAUUUCUAUUUUUCCUUACUAGUAAUGUAUCCAAACUCCAAUAGGCCUCUUUGGAUUUCGAACAACUUCAACAACAUUGCGUUCGCUCCUAUAAAUUAAAUCAAAUCAUUUAAGUCAAUUUUUAUAAUAUGAUUUCAAAUAUAAUAAAUCAAACAUACUUUCACUACCACUACAAAAUCCUCCCUAAAUCUAUGUACAUUUUAAAUGGUCACAAAAUUAUCAUAUCAAUUAUUUUCAAUCUCCAAUUAUGGAUUUAACCACAUUAUUUUUCAUUAAUGUCAUUGAUCCAUAAAUCUCACAAAAAACAUGAAAUAUAAUGGCUACAAUAUUGUAAAACACAUUAUCAAUACUCACAUUUUUUUUCCUUAAUAUAGAACUCGACAAAUAAUUACGACACAACCGUCUUUCGAUUAACAAAAAAUUGUGUCCUUUUUAGCUUUCUUUCUCUUAGUACUACACAUCUUCUUCUUCUUCUUCUUCCAGUUAUGUCUUCAAUUCGGGUUUUCAAACCACGAAAUUUAAAAGCCGAAAACACCCCUUAAACAAAAUAUAAAAUAUGAAGAAAAUACAAGGGUUAUGGAGAGGAGAGGGGGAAUGGGAAUAUCGUACUCUUUACUUCAAAACCCGAAAAAACCCCAAAUAUGAAAACUAAAUAUGGACAUAAUCAAAGGGGGUGCGAGAAAAUACAGAACUCGAAAAGAUGCCCCUCGAAACGGCUACAAUAUCUCACCCGAAAACACCCAAUAACACAAAAACAUCCAACAAUACAUGAAGACAAUUGAAAGCGCCUGAAAAUAACAGUCGAUGGAGAUGAGCAGAAAACACAAGUACUUGGAGAAGAACCGAGUAUGGAGAAGAGAGGAAAAUAGACGAAAAUAUCGGGAAACUCGGUAAAAAAGGGAGAAAACAGAAACUAAACUGAAGAUUAAUGGUGAGAGGGGUCUCUAUCUCCUUCUUUAGUGCUUUCUUUCGCCCAUUUCUUCAUUGUCUCGCAUUUGGCUCUUAGGUUUCUUCCGAAGAUAGGAUUUCCUUUUUUUUUUCUGGAGUAGACUCUGGUUUUUAGGUUGGUUUUGAGUGUAUUACGGGGUUGUUUGAGGUGGGUUUUGGAAGAUUAUGAGAUUGUGAGCGAAGAUUGAGAGAGGGUUGUGAUUGUGGAGUCGGGCUGGUGAUGAAUUUGGCACUAGACACUCCUUGAAUGAAGAGAGGCAAAGAGAGGAAACUCGACCCGACUGUCGAGGAUGAGUGGAGAUCAGAGCACGGGGACACAGCCGACUAUGGAGGAGAAGACGGUUGCCUAUGGAGGAGUGUGGAGAUGAGAGCACGAGACACAGCCAACCAUGGAGGAGAAGACGCUCAACUAUGGAAGAGAAAAGAGGGGAAAAAUGGGAAAAUGGGGGCUAAGAGGGGGAGAGAACAUGUAGAACAGGAAGGAAGAGAGAGAACAAACGGGAAAAUAGGCUGAGAGGGGGAGACAACAAGUAGAACAGGAGGGAAGAGAGGGAACAAACAAGAAAAUGGGCUGAGAGGGGGAGACAACAGGUAGCCAGUUUUUUUUUUUUUUUUUCAUUUUUUCUUUUUCUUUUGAAUGGCUGAGAUUUAAUAUCUUUCAUCCAAUGGCUACAAAAAAUCUGAGGCAAGUACCUCCCUCGACACCAUAGAAUUUUUCUAUAUAUAUAUAUAUAUAUAUAUAUAUAUAUAUAUAUAUAUAUAUAUAUAUAUAUAUAUACAUUUUCAAAAUUUCCUAAGGCACAUUUUUCAAGCUUAAGAUUCACAGGGCAAUAAUAUUGUAAUCUUGAUGUAAAAUGCAAGUGAGAUGGAAGGAGUAAUUAAUUUGUUUUAUUAUUCACCAUUUUUACAUGUUAAUAUAUAUAUAUAAUUCACCAAACACGUGUUUGAUCAUGUUUUCUAUGCUUGUUUUUAAAAACUAUUUUUAGUAUUUUAUAAAAAUAAAGGUAUUUAACAAAUUAUUUUUAAAACCAGUUUUUAAAAAUAAAAAAUAAAAACUAAAAAUCUUGUUUAAAUAAAUUAUUAAAUUUUUUUUUAAAAAAAAACAUUGUAAAUUCAAUAUAAUAUGAAUUCAACAAAAAAAACUUGUAACUUUUUUUAGGUUUCGAAAAUUUUGAGGGAAAUAAAAUAAAAAGAAAAAAAUACAAGAAAAUAAAAAAAAACUUUGCGGAAGUAAAUUUUCUCUUCCUUUUAAUUAAAAAAUUAUUAAGAAAUCAAAAUCUUAGCUGGAUCAUUGAGUCAGCGUGGGACUUCAAAACUAGCACAUGUGCAUGCCAUUAUUUAUUUAUUUUUGUACUUUCAAAGCAUAUUAUUUUUAUUUUCAAUAUUUUAAGAUGACGCAUUUUUCAAGCUUAAGAUUCUCUUUAUAAUUGUUGUUGGUUGUAUCAAGAUUAAUUUAAAUUUUAGAUAAAACUUAACACAACUUACAUUCAAUUUAUUAAAUUUGAGUUAAUAAUAUUAGACAAUAGAAUUAGCAUGUGAUCUUUUUUAUUUUAUAAUUAUGGCCGGCUUGAUUCUUAUAAAUAUAAAUAUGAAGAUUAAAUUAAAAAAUUAGAUUAAACUCGAUUUAAUAAAACUAGCUUAACUUUUUUGUUUCUUAUAAUUAUGGUCCGCAAGCUUAUUGUCGAUUUGGGAUGACAAUGGAUGAGUUUUUUUUUUUUCCUAUACUUGUGUUUAACAAGAUAGAUUUGAAAUUUAAAUAAACGAAUUAGAAGUAUGUGGACCCCGUAUUUCAGCUCAUGCGUUUCCACUCGAUGGCGAGCUCGAUUUUUUUAUUUAAAAAAUGAUUUUUAUUUAUUAGAAAAUGACUUGGAGUCACCACUUAUUUUGUUUUAUUUUUUAAAAGGGUAAAUAAAAUAAGAAAGAAAACUCUAAAUGUGACUCAUUGUUUUGGAAAAUGUGGUGUGUGAAAAACCAGAUCGGCCUCGGGGAUCAGGUUAAUUAUCGAGAAGGUACAGUAAAGACUAUAACACCCCUCUAAGUCCCUAAAGUUGAGUAUUUACUAAUAAAAUGAAGCUGAUGUGACAAUCAAUAAGUAAAUCAAUGGAUACUCAAAUCGAUCAUGCACAUAUGGAAAUCAGAACAUGCAUAGAGAAUGAUCAGAGUGAGAGUUGGUGCGUACCUGGGCAACGAGCCACCAUACGCUAUCAAGAAGUAAAGUUAGUAUACAAAUAAUGGACAUAAAACAUAACUCACAUGUCGCUAAAUUAAGUACGAAGUCAUCACAUGUCACAAUUCAAUCAAAUGGGUUUUCAAAGGAAACAUCCAAUAAUGUUGGGCCCCACCAAAACCCAUUUAUUUUGCAUGAACCAAUUCCAAUAACUCCAUUAUUCGGAAUUACAGGAUUAAAUUUAUGCUUAUUUUAAAACAUUUUAAAAAAACGAGGAAAAUGUAAAAAUGGCUUGUCGAAAAGAACAUAACAACCAAUAUUUUUAUUGAAAGAGAUGGAUUUUUGGGAUUUAAAAAUUCUAAAGAUGAAAAAUUGGAAGAUUCGAAAUUAUUUGAAAACUAGAAUUUGGAAAAUCAUUCACAAAAUAUUUUUAAAAAAAUGAGAGGAUGAAAAAGUAGAUGAUGACACAUGACCCAAAAGUUGCAUACCAAAUGUGGUCAUGCAACCGGAAGCAUGCAGGGGCGGGCCUUGAGUAGAAAGUCAACCUGAAGCACAACUGAAUUGAUGAGAUCUGCAUAACUCACUGUCAGAAUUAAUGACAUGCACCUCGCGGGUGCAGUUGCAAAAGUUUGAUCGCAUGUGCUGUAUGAUGCAGAUUCAUAUCCCCCAUAUUCCUGCUUUGCAUUUUCUCUAACACAUUUCUUCAGAAACACAUCCAUUUGACUCUCAAACCCAUAAGAUAUAUCUGCCAGCAUAGGAGGAUUAGGAAUUGAUGCAGAAGCAUGAUGCAUCACACCAAAAUCAAUAAAUGGGUGACCAAAGUGUUCAGAGUUGUAGCAACAGUCACAAUCCAAGCAAAAAUCUCCAAGCGGGACAAAACCAUAUUUCACUACCUUUAACAGUGAUUUUCAAUGGAUGAUCAAGAUCAUGUAACUCCAUAAAAAGAAAAUUAGCAGGGAACCACUGAUCUAGAGAAUGGUUGCCUUUAUGACUACUAGAAAAAUUAAAUCCAUCUUCAUUCAUCUCUGCCAGCUUGCCCAGAUCCCCUAAGUCCCUAAAAAAAAAUCAUUUCCUUCCACAUUAGGUAAUGUAUCAUCCACAUUUUGAGCAUGGCUGGGUUUAUCCACCUCAUUUUCAUCAUUCUCAAUGGAAACAAGGAUGUUAUAUUCUUCAAACAUGUCAAGCAUUUGAUAGAAGCUCAUUAUCAUCUGGAAGCUCAUAAAUAUCACCAUCUAGAACUGAUGGAAGCGCCAUGUCAGUAGAUGGAAGACUUCGAGAUGGACCUGAGUUAGAUGGAAACCCAAUAGGUGCGUCCUCAGGGCCAACCGUGUCUCUUAAAAUGGAAUUGCUUUGGCUGUCAUUAAGAAUUUCAUGUGAUGAUUCAGCAAGGUGACAUGCCUGGAAACUAAUUGAAGUAACGGCGGCAACAGGUCUUUCCUUCUCAACAGUCUCAGUUUUCAGCUGACUAUGGAGAUACCGAACUGAUCAACAUAAAACCAACAAGAAAUGCUCUACUCCCUGAAUAUUUCCUGACGUAACCUCCUUCAGAAUACCAUCGGGCAAAGCAAGAUUCGCAUACUAGGUAUCUGAAACUUGUAAGCUUUCCCCUGGACCAAACCCCUUAACGUGCCAGUCGUAUUCCACUCUCAAUCCAUUUGCAUCAGUGGCCUUGAACUUGUGCAGCGUACACUCCGGCGACAAAGAAGUUUCCGACGCAGCUUCCUCGUAGUUUUCAAAAGACCGACGCGUCAGCAUGCGAGGGUUUUCAUCAACGGCGAAUGCCCAGACCCGACUGGCAAUGAGCUUAUGGUAUCGGACGUCGACAGAAUCAUGAUUAUCAAUGAGAACAGUCGCCAGAUUGACGCACAGAAUCUUGCAGGGGAAAAGAUCAAAAGUGAAAAUUCUUGCGAUGGAUGGGAGUAAGAAAGAACAUCAUUCCUUAGUGGGGACCUCUGGAAUCUCUAACCCUUGCCAUAAUUUAUCUGUCUGUAUAAAAUUCCGACGGUGCUGGUAUCGAAUCUUGUCUGUCAGCAUUUAGAAAUGGCUCAUAGUGGCAGGCUCUGGCUCUGCAUCUGAACAAUCACAAGUGCCGAAAAUGAAAAACCCAGCCAAGAUUAAUAAUAGUGCUACUGCUAUUAGCGCUGGCUGAUGGCGUCGAUGGAGACGAGAACAAGGCCUAAGGAAUAGUGGGAAAAUUUGCACUGACACUGACGUAUUCAUGUUUGCCAUUCUUCAAAGCGGUGGAAAAGAAUGCACCGAUCUGCUCAUGUACGUCUUCCAAGCCAUUCACCACAUAGGAAUAUCCACGUCGACACCUUGGCUUUUUCUGGAUUACUAUUGGGACUAGUCUUGAGGGGGCCAGAGGCACCAGAUCAGUAAUAUCCUUCAAUGUUGAAUGCACACGUGAAAGAACUUGGUCUUCCCUUGCAAGACCACGUGGCUGCUUCAGUAAAUCCCCGUUGACAGUAGCUUCUCAUUGUCCUGUCCGAACGCUCGUGUUCACCAUUGAAAUCAGUGCAAAUGGGUCAUCAACUGACUGGUACCGUACUAAUAAGGCUUACAUCAAUCUCGGGAGUGUAGCUGUUGCUCACCACAUGGAAACACCCAUCUCCGCACCUGGGCAUUCUCUGACCUAACCAUCUCCAAAACGGUUGAACAUUUGUCAUUUGCAUUACGCUGGUGCACCUGAUUUUGAAAAAUAUUCCCAGAACUGUCACGGAUUAUACAUCUUUUCGAAUGAAGGUAUUUGGGCUGCCUCUAACUGAUAGAUAUUGGACUCACAAUGUCUCUUGCAGCAAUUGCUAUCUCACAUGUGCCAAUUUCUUUAAUUUGUACCCAUUUAUGGGCAUCUCCAUGAAAGGGUCUUUACUGACUUUAAGUAGCUCUUUCAAAGGCCAACCUAUGGAUUACUUGGGUGCAAUUGUGAGCUCCAUCUGGUAUUGCUUGGAUCUUACCGGCAAUGCAAGGACUGAAUCAUUACGAGCAGCAAGUUCUUCCAUUAAAAGCCCUUUUUGCCUUAUUUAUAACCAGUUUCCGCAACUUAGGAACCUCAUCCAGAAAUCUAGUCUUGAUCCAACAAAUCUCGACGUUCAAAGCAAGCACAGAUGCUCAAUUUUUCCCGUUGAAUGCAGUCUUCGUUUUCUAAAGAACGACUUCGAUGCCGGCUUCAAUGAUGGCGCCCGGAUGAACGAAAACGUCAUCACCGGGACAUUGGGACUCUUCUGCUUAUCGAUGCCACACUUGUAGCAGUUCAUGCACAAUAGCUUCAGAUCUGUCUAAGAGAUUACAGCCUGCAUGCAAGGUGUUUCCUCCAGCAAAUGCCGAAAUCCUGUGGUGGCGUUCCUGUAAAUGCUGAAUAGGAAGAGUGAGCAUCGCUUUUAUUCCAAGAAUCUGUGCGAAUACGCUGAGACGAGCCAACUCAACCCAGUUCGACACAAAGAAAGGAUGAUUUGUUUUAAACCCAAAACUCAUCUCUCUAUCAACCAACAACUGCGCAUGAAGGGCAUGUGGUGUAGAGAGAGAAAUGUGGUGAUAUGCAUGGGGGCAUAGAAGGUGACCAUGGGUGUACGACUCUCAGAAGCAUGAGUAAGGAAUGGGUAUGGGCAGCAUGAAGGAUGGGUAUGGGUAGUAUGAAAGAUAGGUAUGGGGGGUGAGUAUGUUUGGUAGACUUGAAGAAAAAUGGGUAUGAAGAGCAUAUGGUAUAGAGAGAUGAAUGAGUGGGGAAUGGGUGGUGAGCGAGUUAGUGAGAAGAAUGGGUAUGAAUGUGAACGGGGUGGAUGGAAAUAUAUCAAUGAGAGAGAACGGGUAUCUGGGCAUGCUGAAGUAUGGGGAUGAAGGUGGCCAUGCGCAAUAGUCUCUACGUACGUGGAUAGGAAGUGAGCAAUGGGUGUGGGAAUGAAGCGGGUUGUUGCAGUGGAUGUGAAGGAUGAGGAACGAGUAUGAGGGAUGAGUUUGGAGGAUAGGUAGAGUGGAUUUGAAAUAUGAAUGGUGAACGGAGAUGUAGAGAAGGGAAUUUAAUAGAUGGGUGGAUAAUGAAACAAACUUCCCGGCUGCGUCUUCAUACCCUGAAUUCAGGUUAGCAUCGUCAUAGCCACCUCGCAUGUGCAUACGCAUGUGGCGGCCUUCUUUGUCAACAACCCCACGAACAUGGUGCUGCCUCCACACUCAGCGAGUGAGUGAUCAAUCAGGCGCAGUAGGGCAGGGGGUAUAAGCUGUUUCAAAGCCCCAAGAACCAUAUCCCACGACACUAUUCCAUCUGAGUCUGAAUGCAUUGAUUAAACUGGGCCAUCCACGGACACAGCCUGUGACAUGAAGUUUAGUGGCAGUGAUAGCUUGAUAGUGAGGGCAUGCUUCCUAGAUGGGUCCAUGACUUCUUCAUUGGGUCGUGAACCUCAUACCCACCAUCGCGGCCCACCCACAGGGCCUUGUAUCCAUUACCAUCAAUUUCAACAAAUGGAAUUUCAAACUCAAGUGAGUCCACUGAAGGUAAACAAACGCUUUGCCACCUGAUAUUUAAGAUACUACCAUGUGUCAACUGCAAAUAGAUUGCUGCUUCCCCUUAGUGCUGAGGGGACUCUACUAAACCCAAACGUCCUGAGUUGUUGACAAUCUUUUGUGAGACUCCUUUCAUCCUAAAAAAAAAAUAACCUCUAUCUUCGUGCACAGAAGAACUCCUUCUUUCAAAGUCCUAGUCAUGAUUUUUUUCCAGUAGAAGUAGGUAUCAGGACAUCCAACGUCCUUUUUGACCUGUAUGAGAUACUCCUUGGAAUACCGGUCUGAAAAGAGUAAUUGAGCACGGGCUUAGCUCCAGCUACUAUAAAUCUUCUAAUCUCUUUAGGAAUGCAUCAGAGGAAAUGUUCCUAUGGAGCACUAAAGAUCUUAGGUGGUUCAGUUCCCAAACCCAACUGCUCCCCAAGAAGAAAUCAGUCUUUCAAAUUUAAUGGGAUAAGAUUGCAGGAAGGGGAAUCUGAUCCAAGAGCAUUUAAAUAAGAUCCAGGAGGUGUAUAUGCAUUGGCCUGAGCAUUCGGUGACUCUUUUCUGUAUCAUAACCACUAAGAGAGGAGCCGUCUCUUUCACGCAAACUAGAUUUCCAUUUUCAGCUUUUCAAAUUUCGUUCAACUUUAAAGAGACCCGGUAUUUAGAUCCACAAAGCAACAGUGAAAACAACCACCAUUUCUAGCUCAAUUUUUGUUUUUGUUAGGUAUAGGCAACCUCCAUUCUUAUCAGUAUUCCCAUCGCUGGUGGACAGCAAUUCCGAUUAACAUUAAAAUGCAGAAGCAGUUUGAAGAUAGAAAAUGAAUGUAAAUAUAUAAUAUUACACAACAUUAAACUCCCUUUUGCCCUGGGUCUCCCCUGAAAAUAUUAAAACGAAAAAACUACAUUUUUUGCAAUAGUAGGGACUUGAACCCAAACCAAUUAUUAUCCAUUUUAACAAUGACAAUUCUGAAUCAUUAGGUUAAAACCCACAUUUGUUUCACGGAUUAUCUCCUUGAACUAAAUUGCUAAAAGGUUGGUUUUUGUUUUUUGAUUAAAUUAAAAAAAUCAAAAUAUAUUCAAUUUAAUUAUAUUGAUUGAUAUAAAUAAAUACCCAAAAGUGAAACAUAUAUAGUAAAAGUUUUUCCAUUGAACUACUGUGAUACAAGGUUUGCAAAAAAUAGGCAAGUAGCAAUAGAAAUUAUUAUAAAAUCAUUGGUUUAUAAAAAUAUUAAAAUAAAAGUAUUUUAGUCAUAUCUUAAAUGAAUAGUAGUCAGUCCUUUAUAUGAAAUAAAAUAUAUUUCUCUUUUUAUAUGAAAUUGGUGGGGAUAUAACCAUCAAACAUCAAACCAAAAAGAGAAACCAGCCAUUUACAAGAGAAAAUAUCAAGAAUAUUAGAGAGAACAAAAUAGAGCAUGUAUAUGCAGGCAAUCGUGUUCAACUAAAACAACCUUGUGGCCCUAGAUGUCCACAGCAAAUCACAAAAUAAUAUUCAUGGAUGAUGUUGGACAUUAAGGGAUGGAAACGUAUCAAGCUCAAGAUAGCCUUGCUUGGAAGUUCACAGCGCGACCUUCCUUUCCUCAGCUAUCUUCUUCCUCCAUCCUUUCCUUUUCUCAAGCUAUCUCUCCUAAAGAAAAUGCUAUGUCACUUCCUCUCUCCUCCUAGGCUGCUCAUUCUGGUUCUUCUCUAAAAAUGAAUACGCUUCUCCCUUCCCUACCUCUGGCUUCCUCCCUAAACUCAAAGAACGCACCUCAAAAAUCUCUCCCCUCUCUGUUUCUCUCCUAUCUCUGUUUUCCUCCUCCGCGGCAACGAAAACACCCACCUCUCAAAAAAGUAUCACUCUCCUGUCUUUCCUCUCUCUCAUACGCUCCUCCUCUCCGACCUCUGGCUUUCUCCCCAAGCAAAAGAAUUCCCCCUCUGAAGCUAAAGGAAUUCCUCUUCUCUCGUCCGACUUGCCCCCCAAGAAAGAAUACCCUCAAAAUAUCUCUAAAAAACCCCCUCUCCAAACGCACCACCCUACAACAACCAAAACACCACCUUGCCUCUACCAGAAUCUGCCUUCUCUCUCUCCUACGCUCCUUCAUAACGACUUCGACUUUUUCCAGAAUCUUCUUGACACUAACGUAAUUCCAUGAUAGGCGACCACGAGGUAGCACUUGCUCUCAAAGAGCCCUCCAUCUGGCAAGUGAGCUGCAGAAAAUGGGAGAAAAAUGAGCCCCAAACGGGGUCUACAAAGUGGGUUUGAGAUUUUUUUUUUUUUUUAAAAAACCUAAGAUGAGUUUAGAACGGGUAUUACUUAGUCCCGCCCACCCCACCUUGAUUACAUAUAAAAUUAAUUUAAAAUGUUAAUUUAAUUUAAUUUUUAUUUUCCUAUUUUUAAUAAAAUAAGUUAUAAAAAAUUAUAAUAUUUUAAUUAUUUAUAAAAUAUAUUUAUUUUGAUAUAAUUAAAAAUAUGUAUUUUAAUUUAUUUUAUUUUUUAAAAAAAAAAAAGUUAAACAUGUUGCCUAUGGGAAAUUCGCAUACUAGUCCACCUUACCCCGUCCCGUCUAAUUUUUUUAAUAAGACGGGUAUGAGAAUUAUUUUGAAUAAACGGGAUAUGAUUGAGAUGAGUGCAAUCCAUCCCCAACAUGUAUAGCUUGCCAAUCUCCAACGUCAAGAUGUAUUUAAUAAAAGAUUAAGUAAGGAACCUAUUUGCAACUUAUUAAAUUUGAUUAAUUUAAAAGGUUAGUGAAGCAAAUCCAUUUGCAAAAAUUAAAAAUGCAUAGAUUUUUAACUAAUUUUAAAUAUAUUUGAUUUUUUAUUUAUUUAUAUUUUCCAUAUUAUAACCCAAUAUGAAAAAAAUCACUUUCCUUAUUAUUUUUUUCUUUAUUACUUUUUGGAACAAAUAUAACCUAAGACUAUGUCUGGUUUCCUUAAAAUUUAAGAGAAAAUAUGUUAAGGAAAGAAAAAACAAAAAAAAUAAAAAAAUGAAAUUCAAAAUCAAUAAUUAUUUUAUAUGUUUCUUCAAAUUCAUUUAACUUAUUUUUCCCCAUUAUAUAAAUAUUAAAUGAUUUUAAAAUACAUAAAUUUCUAACUAAUUUAAGUAAUAUUUGAUUUUCUUUCAUAUUUUCUAUAUUAAAAUUAAAUAGAAGAAAACAAUUUUUUUAACAUUUUUUUCUUUCCUUAGCAUUUUCCUAAAGCCAAACAUAACAUAAAUGUUUUGAAUUGAAAACUAAUGUCAUUGUAUAACUUUAUUGAUUGGUUGGAUCCUUCCUAAGGGAGGGAGUUGUUUUUUGUUUUCCCUUCCAUUUUUUGGCCAUCUUUCGAUAGCCAUUGUAUAUAUCUUGUGUGCUUUUUCUAUAUUGUUGAUAUUGGAGGAUAGAUUUUAAUAAUAUAUAUAUAUAUAUAUAUUCUUAACUUCUUGUUUUUAUUUUUAAUGUGAAAGCACUUUUAGAUUUAGCAUGCCCAUAUUAUUAGUUGUAAGACAAAUGAUAGAAUUGAAAAGAAUGAUUUGGGCUUUGUUCUCAGAAGAAACAACGUUAGUAUUAUAAGUAGAGAAAAGGCUACAAAUUAUAGAUGGGAGAUCCUCCCAAUUAGAAGAUGUUAUGAGAGGAAGGUAGAAGAAAGAAUGACAAUAACAAAAAAUAGACACCAACCCAAGGCCCACAGCACAAAUAUCCAAGUCCACCACUGAAACACAAAACAAGCAAGGGUGAAGGUGAAGACAAGAUGAAAGGCAUUUGGCUUCGAGGGGAGAUAUGAUCUAUUGGCGAACCUAUCAGCUUCCUGAUUGGUUGCUCUAGACUUUCAACAGAAGGAGCAUCUCAUGUCUCUAGACAGCUUCUCUAUCCUUUUCAACCAAUGGUUAUGUCUCCAUAAACAACCCUUCUUUUAUUUGUGGCAGGUCGAUUUUACAUCUCAAACUUGCAUGGCAUAUUGCUGUUGAAUUGAAACCCACAAAUUUGAUUUUGGCAUUAUGGUCAUCCCCCUCUUAUGUGCUCACAAUUUUUUUGUAACUUAUUUCAUUUUCUGCCAGGUUUAGCCCUGAAGCUCUAAAUGGGCUAUUCAUCAAGGGAUUGGUUGGCUGGUUUUUGCAAGUCUCACUGCUGAAAGUAUCAUUGCUUUCAUUGGGUAUUGGGGAGGCACCCUUUCUGGACAUUGUGGCAUAGCAGGGUACACUUUCACAGGGAUGUGCUUGGCUGUCCUUGAGAGGGAUCAUGUGGAGUAUCUCAUAUUAUUUCUUGAUGCCCUGGGCAUGCCUAUGCAUGGGAAUAUUCUUGGUAAAAACAAUAAAGAGAGUCCUCUUUGCAGAGGUGAGGAGUUAUGUUUCCAGCAAGCAUCACUAUCUCUUGCUCCUUAUUGCUUUGGCUCAGUUCCCACUUUUCAUAUGGCUUGGCAACAUUAGCCUUCAUUGGCUUUUCUGAACUUCAUCUUUGAUAACUGUAUCCGGAAACAAUUUGCUUCUGUGGAAGUCUUAAAAUGUUGUAGUUUUGGUCUAUGAUGUCGGCCAAGUGACCAUUCUCCAAGACUAGAAAUAUUCUUUAAACUUAUGCUAAAGCUUAAAUAUGAUUCAAUUGUUCUCCUAGUUAAAACAGAAACCAAGCACUUGGCUUCCUUGUUCAGAAUUAUUUAUCCUUUUUUUCCCAAUUGAUUGGAAAUGAACUAGUUUAGCACUUGUAAUUUGACAUGUUCAUUUAAAGCAACUGUAGUUAAUAAAACAAUUGAGCAUGAACUGGAGUUGCCGAUGGAAUCCUGAAAGUGGAUGACAUAAAUUACUUGGUGCCUUCUUCUGGUACAUGAUACUCCUGAACUGAAUGUCAGCAUGGUAUUCAUGAAUCAAGUUUCAAAACAAUUGAGCUCAUAUAGAUCUUGCAUAACUGGAAAUCAAAGUGAAUCUCAUGUUGUUUUUGAUGGGUUUACAAUAAAAUCAAUGACAUCACUAUGGCCUUUGUCAAUGAUUGGGUUUUAAACUCUGGUUCAAAACAUCCACUGCAGUGGGAUAAUGGCCUUAACAUCCAGUGAUGACUUCAUUUUAGACUCCGGUUCAAAACAUCCACUGCCAUGAGAUAAUGGCCAUAACAUCUGAUGGACCUCGUUUUCCCAGACACACGGAGAUGGAUUAGGUAGGGGUGACUCUGAAUCACUUGCACUGAGUCUACUUCGUACGAAGUCUCUGAGGUCAGUUGAAGGUUGUCUGGUGAUCAGCUAGAUAAUUCCAAAUACUUGACGCGAGGCUAGAUGCUUGAGGGUAAAUCAAGAGGCACAGCAGUUGUAAAUCGUCUCCCCAUAUGGCAAAACCUAUUCUGUCACAAUGAUAAAAAGGUGUUUAAUUAUGGCAGGUAAUGGAGCUUCAGGCAAUAGGAUGUGAGGCAGUGAGAGGUCAAGAUAGAGCAACAUACAUUUCUUGCCCAUGGAAUGAUGCCCAUCCAAUAUAUACAGACUGCAAUUUUUACCAACAUUGAAGAAAGUUAGCCUCUCAUUAAGGCACUAAGAUCACAUUUAGAAAUCUCAAAGAAUUCUGAGAAUGUGUCAAUGCCUUGCAUCAUUCCAUUUAGAAAUCUGAGUCCCAGAAAGGUGUUAAUGCCGAUGUUCCAAAAUUUUGAAACCGUGUUGCAAUCUAUUCUCCUGCCACAGUAACAAGAUUUCUUUACAAUGAACAGUCGUGAUAAUUUCACAUCUGCUAAUGCUAGCAUAAGCCACAUUGAGAAAACAAUUGAUCCUUGGAUUAUUACCAAUCUCUAAGGAAUUGAAAAAGGCCAGAUGGUCAAGCUCCAAAGUUUUUGACGACAUUCCCGGUUCACCAAUCAACGAUAGUAUCAUACGUGAAACAGAAGACACAAAGUCUGAAACAUUCAAAAUCAAAAGCAUCUGUUUUGAUUAUUUAGCAAGAAAAAUAACAUAAUGGAUCUUAUUUGUAUGUAUAUCAAGUUUAACAACACGCCAUUGCAUGACUCCUUAAUUGGCUUCCAAUAUUCAGAUAAUUCAAAGGCACCAUUAUGUUUAAUUCCGAUAUAAAAGACUGUCAAAGAAGGGGGAUAUAAAUUUGUACGAGAGUUAACAAACCUCUGGUUUUUUGUCAGCAAAAUCUCAUUAACUGGAUUCCUGAAAAACGUAGUAAAAAUAAGUAAACGCUCAUUAGAGUUAAAUUCCAAAUCCAAAGUCAAUAGAAGGUUGUUUAUUGUAGAACUAAACACAAUUACUAAACCUUAUAAUGCAAGAACACAAAAUUGUCCAGAAACACAUUUUCCAUCUUAUCAGAUUCAAUUUAUGGCCUUCCUGCAUAACUGCAUUUUAUAUUUGAAAGGUAAAUCAGACAUUUUUUAUGUGAGUAAUAAGAGAGUAAAUGGCAUAAAAGGCAAACCAUACAAAUGAAGAAGUUGUAAACAUAUAAGAGUGCUUACUGAUCACUGUUGAAUGAUAUUUAAUCGUCUCUCUUUCAAUCUGCAAGAGUUUAUACUCAGUGAAUCAUAGUAUGCUACCAAGAAUAAUGCCUCAUUUCCUCGUUGUUGGAAAAAAAUGUAGUGAAAAACAUGUAAGUUGCCAAUAGAAAUAUACUAGUUUAAAAAUAAAGCAUUUCAAGUUACAUAAGGUUUGUACAAGUUGUAACUGACCUGAAAAAAAUCUGUAUGUUUGAUAAAGCUCAUUUUAAUGAAUCCUAACAAUGGUUUAAAAGACAUCCAAAAGGAGGAAAGCUGGAUCAGCAUUGCGCAUCCACCUAAAAGGAGUAACAUGAAAUGCAUCAAUAUAAAAUGAGAUGAAAAGAAAAUAGUAGUGCUCAUAAAAAUCCUUUCUGCAAAAUAAUGCAUAAAGACGACCAAUUCAUCAAUGUAAAACAAAUACAAACUGUUCUUUAUAUAGGUCAUAGUUCCAUCAGAGAGCAAUUUCAAACAAUCACAACAACUGAGCACAAGACUUUAUAACAUGGAUGACAAACCAGUCCUCAGAAGGAACCUAAAGAAAUGUGUGAUUCUCGACUCUCCAAGAGAUGUAUGACUAUUCAGUCUUACUGGCAGCUUCUCCAAGAUAGCACAAAAAAUAGCUUCAUGUCUACUGAAGACAGGUGAACUAAGCAGUGUCCAAGGAUUGGUGCUUAGGGAACACCUCAAGUCAUAAACAUAGAAAAUUUAGAAAAAAAGUUAGCAAAUAUAGGAAUCUAAAAAAACCAAUAAAAAUGUAAAAUAAAAAUUGUAACUUACCAUGAUCUUGCUAAGCUGUUGUUUAUCCUCUUUCUACACUCUUAACAUCAACAAUAGAAACAAAAACAAGUAGCAAUAGGAAUUUGCCACAGUCACUAUAGACAUGGAGCCUCCAAAUAUAAAACCCGAAUCCCCUUCGACAAGAAGAAAAAUACUUAUACUCUGACACCUGGGACAUGCACCUUUUAAACCUGCAAACUCCAAAAGAAGAGAUAUGGUUUCAUCAAAUCAAAAAUUUGAGAAACUAAAGCAAAACCAUUUUGUUUCUGCUCAAAUUUGUACAACUAGGCAUAUGUAAAUGUGACAGUAGCUCACAUUUUGGAAACCAAGUGGGAUAUAUUAGAAUAGAUACAAGCUGCUGUUGUUGCUAUGUAAUAAUUCCAUUAGGUAGUUCUGGGCUAUCGCAGUCACAGAGAAAAUACCACUUGGGAUAAAUUGAAAACCAGUUCUUGUGAAAGACAAGUUUCAUGCACUGAAUGGUUCCCAACUUUCAAAGGAAAUAAAAGAUCAUACAACCUUAUGAGCGGCUUCCCCAGGAGGGCAAGAAGAGGUUCUUAUUUAUUAAAGAUGCAAAUGAAAUCUUGAUUCAGAGGACCUCUGUAAAGCACUGAAGAAUCUAUCACAAGUCAUAAAAGGAAGAAAAUUUUACAAAAAUAGUCCUUAGAACACAAUAAUAUAUAGAAUCAACUAUAUAAAUGAAAGUCACGCACCACAAUUUUGCUAGAUUGUAUUUUAUCCUCUUUUAGUCGUACUAAAAAAUGGUAAUAAAGUGCCAAUGAGCCUUUGAUAUAGGAUGAACAUUCCAAUCAGUUAGCACAAUGAAAAGACCACAUGACCUCCUGUGAUACUUUGCACCCAUCCUUUUGACACCUGCAUCAUCAAUGUAAACAAUUUGGUACAUAAAACUGUAAGACUUAUUAUUACCGUUCAGAGGUAGCCGAGUUAAAUGGCAACAAAUUGCAAAUAUAUGUAUGGGAAAUAGAAAGUGAUAUUGAGGAGAGAAAGAGGAAGAAUUGCAUGUUGGGAAUGAGCAUCCAGUGGACAAGAAGAAAAUUCAAGAAAAUUAGUCAUCAAAAUAGAAAAAUAAAUAAACAAAAUAUAUAGAUGACGGUGACUCACUGUAGUCUUGCUGGGUUAUUCUUUGUCCCCUGUUGACACUCAAAAAAAAUAAAAAAAAGAGCAACAGGGGACAACUGGAACUAGCUGCAUUCACUCCAUACUUUGAAGUCUUUGAUAUAAUACCUAGAGUUCCAUCCUCUUUGAGAACCUGCAUCAUAAAUGUAAAAAUUUAAUAACCAGAUGACAAGACACUGGAUAGUAGCUAUGAUGACAUCUAAUAAGUUGAACUAAAAAAAUCAUGGCUGCACAGGGGAAUUGAUAAAGCCAUCUAAUUACCAUAGCAAUCGAACUUUAAUAAACUGCAUUUGCUUCUAGUAUAGCCUCCUCUGUAUGUCAGCCUGAACUCUAUUCUGGAAAUCAGAAAAUUAUACUUAAAAAAUGCAAUUGAAUAGUACAACUGAUGGAAUAAAAAUCAGAAGACAUUGCUAACCAGUGGCUAUUGCUAAAUAUUCCACCUGCCCUUGAAUGGCAUAAAUGGAUCCUCUCUUAUCCUUUUUAUCGUUGUAAGUAUCACAUAUCACCUCUUCAACUUCAAUGGUCACUGAGAACUAAAAAGAACAAAGGAAAAAGGAAAAGUGUGUACCCCAUGGAGAUUAUGGACAAGAUUUACUAAAUAGAAUUGGAGAGGCAGAGGCAGUGAUGCAUACCUAGAAUUGUGUCAAAUUGAAGAGAAAACCAAGCUACAAGCCAUUUCAAAAGCCACUUCCUAGGCAAAUUUUUAACAAAAAGUCUAGUAAGAAACGUACAAGUAAUCAAUUGGGGAAAUUGCUAUAAUGUAUAUGAGAGAUUGAACGCGGUAUUGAGGAGUGAAAGAUAAAGAACAGGCGUACCUUGUUUAAUGUAAAGAUGGGAGAGGGUUGAAUGGUGUUUGCUUCUAUGUUCUGCAAUCCCUCAACUUAUUAUUGCUCAAAGACGUUUUUAUCAUCUAUUUCCACAUAGGGAAUGUGGGCGAUGUUGGGCCAAUCUUGCCCUUUCCCUUUCGAGCACCUUUGUUUUAGGAGCGGGCAGUCUGUGAUAUAUAGUCGUGAAAGCGUGUCAGGCAGCCCUUCCCUUGGGCAAAACGACUGAAGCUUAGGGCAACGUUGGAUCCAUAGAUCUUCAAGUGAGGUGAGGGUUUGGAGAGCCAGGGAGGAUAGAGAUUUCAGAUUCUGGAAAUCUUGAAUGGAAAGAAAGGUGAGGGUUGUAGGAAGAAUCGGUGGUCUUUGACCAUCUGAAAAGGAGGCAACUCGUGGAAAUAUGCCACCAAUGGUGAGUUCUUUAAGAGAGGUAAGUGUGGCAAGGCCCCAUCGGGAUAGGGGCAUCUUGAUAUUCUCACAACGGUAGAUACCAAGUGAUGUAAGAGCAGUGAGGUUUUGCAGUUGAUGAGGUAGCAGCUCCACAUUCUCACAAUUAUUAAUCUCCAGUUCUCUGAGUUUGUAGAGGCAAUCUGGUACAAUUUUGAGACAGGGAUACGACCGGAUACUCAAAUAUUCAAGUGAACUAUUAUUGGAGUGAAACGUCUCCUUUGAAAUCGACUCCAGUUGUGCACAAUCCCAAAUCUCAAGUUUCUUAAGGGUGGAGGGAAACUUGCCUGUGGGGAAGAAUGUGAGAGAUGGACAUUUCCAAAUGUCCAAGACAUGAAGACCACCACUGGUGGCGGUGGUGGUGUUGGAAUCAUGGUGCAUCAUUCCCCCCGGUAGAGACUCUAGCUUUUCACACCUCCAUAUCUUGAGUUCCUUGAGCGUGGUGGGUAACUCACCUUCUGGAAAACCAAUGAGAGAUGGACACGUAUGUAUGUGCAAGUAUUCAAGGAGACACACGUCGCUACCGUUAUUACUACCGUCUUUCAUCACCAUCAUCCAAUCAGGUAGACAUCGUAGACCUUCACAACUAUGAAUAACAAGACGUCUAAGCAUGGGCGGGAACCCCAACUCUGGAAAUGACACCAGCUUUGGACAAUCAUAGAUUUCCAACUCUCCAAGACAUGUUAGCCUGUACAGUCCAUUGGGAAGCUUCUCUAGGUUAUUACACCACCUAAUUUUCAAAGAUUGAAGCUUGCUAGGCAGCUCGUGCUUUUCCUUUUCUCCCAAGGAUACAAGCUCGGGACAACUGCUAGUUUGCAACUGCUGAAUACCAUCAAAUCCAUUUUCCCACAAACACGUCAAUUUAUCACAUCUAUCAAUGUCUAAAACUUGAAGCCCCGACAACAAUUGCAUACAACCUUCAUGUAAUCUGGUGAGCCCUACCAUUCUAUCAAUUCCUAACUCGGUGAGUGAAGGCAAUUCCAAUCCACUCCUUAGUACCGCCUCAUUGCAAUCUUGUACUCUUAAUUUAGAAAGAGAUGGAAGCCUUUCAAGUGGAGACACCAACUGUGGGCAUGUCCCAAUGGAGAAAUGUACAAGGGACGGUAGGUUAGUGGGUAGUUUCUUGAUUAAUUUGGGGCAAUUUAUGAUUUCAAGGUGAAGGAGACAAGGAUAUGGCUCUGAUAAAGAUGGACUCUCCCAAUCUUCCCAUUGUGACAUAGCCGAAAAAGAUAGAGACUCUAAGGACGGGAAAGGCUUAUUGGGAAGACAAGUCUCUCCAUAAAACUCUCUACCCACAAUUUUUACUUCUUUUAACCCUUCAAUCCUUACGUGUUUGAGCAUGGGUAACCACCCCAAACACGGUAAAGAUGUGCAAUUUCUGCAAUUCACCAGAUUUACAUCCACCAUCUUCGAGAAUGAAACAUCUCCUAUCCAAGGGGGAAAUUCUGGACCACCAUAAUACUCAAUUUUUAGUUUGUUCAAAUUGAAGUGUGGCUGUAAAGAGUCAAGUACAUCUUUUUGAUUCCUUGCAUUGUGUGAAUCAUUCAACCCAGCACUCCACUCUAUCGUCAAUUCUUCAAGCUUCUGCUUCUUGUUUAGACUAGCAUCCCUUGCAUCUUGAACAUUUGCUACAUUUUCCAACUUUGAAAUGCAAAGUCCCCCUUGAAGUUGGGGCAUAUUCCUUAACUCCUUUACAUUCAAACCAUUGUCUUUACCCACAAUAAAAUUAGACAAUACUUGUAAGCCUUUUAAUUUGCAAAUUCGUGGAGGCAUUUCUUCUAGAUUUGUAUUGGUCACAUCAAGGUGUCGAAGAUUAUUUAGGUUUCCAAUGCUCAAAGGCAACCUAAUAAGCUUCCGACAAUUUGAUAAUAUUAAUGUCUCUAAGUUAUGGAGGUUACCCAGUGAAUCAGGUAAUCGUUUGACUUUUGUUCUGGAUAAAUUAAGAUACCUAAGGUGUUUCAAAUCACCAACUGAACUUGGUAUCUCACUUAUCCGAUAACCACUCAAUAAAAGCACCCUUAGGCGUCGUAGCUUGGGCAUCAAUCCCUCAAGUACCUUGUUGCUUAACCAAUUAUAAUCCCAUAAUGGAUCAAUUGGUAAUGCAAUAAACGUACGCAAAUUCUCCAUCCCAUAAAAGGCUUCAAACUUUUUGAAGAUAUCGUAUCGGUCACGAAUGAAUGAUGAAUGACGAGCCUUUUUAGAAAUAGUCUGCUGCUGAUUACCUUCCAAAUUCUUUUCCAGAGAAAAACAUAUUUCUCCACCAACAAAUUUUGCUAAAUCGUUAACGAGAUCAUGCAUUACGAAUUGGGAUUUAUUGCUACUUGAUGGUUGAAAAAAUGAUCGAGACAACAAUUCCUGGAAGUAGUUAGCGCCUAAAUCUUCAAUUUCGAUUUGUUGCCUAUGACAUUCUAAGUGUUGAAUUAGACUCUCUGCCAUCCAUAAGCGAAUCAGUUCUCUCUUAUCAAAUUCAUAGUCUUUCGGAAAUAUUGCACAAUAACUGAAACAUCUCUUCAGUGGAGAGGGGAGGUGAUUAUAACUUAAUCUUAAUGCAGGAAGAAUACCGCAUUUAUCACUCGGUAAAUCCCAUAUUUUGCUAGUCAAAAUAACAUUCCACUCAUGUUCUCUCUGUUCAUGGCGUAGAAGACUACCGAGUGCUGUUGCUGCCAAAGGCAAGCCUCCACACUUUUUUACAAUUUCCUUGCCGAUCAAUGCCAAAUUGGAAUGCUCAUCAAUGUUGCUAUUUCCAAAUGCAUGUUUCUUGAACACCGACCAACACUCAUUAUCUGAUAAAUUUUGUAGCUCGUGCAAGUUCUUAUCUCCUUCCAUUAUAUUUGCGACCUUCUUACUCCGUGUCGUGACUAUGAUUUUGCUGCCUCGUGAACCCGACAAAAAGGGAGACUGUAAGCAACGCCAAUCAUUAUAGUUGUCAUUCCACAUAUCAUCGAGAACCAGAAGAAAUUUUUUUCCCUUCAAUUCCUCCCCCAAUUUAUCUUGAAUUUGAUGGAAGUCUAGUGAAUCAGUAUUGCUCUGAGAAGUACUGACCGAGUUGAGGAUUGUCUUGGUUAUUCUCACUGCAUCGAACUGAUCUGAUACACAAACCCAGGCCUUUAGAUCAAAAUGCUUGGCUGUCUCAGGAUGAUCGUACACCAACCUUGCUAGUGUGGUCUUGCCCAUACCACCCAUGGCCACGAUGGAAACUACAGAAACAUUGGUUUCAAUGGGCUCAUCCCUAAGCAGCAUAUCCAUUAUAAUCUGUUUAUCAGCAUCCCUGCCAUAAACCCAAGGUUCGUAUACCAGAGAUGUAGUGAGUGGCCUUUCCCAAGUAGACUGGGUUAUAGCAGCCACCUUGUCCAAACCAAGCCCAGCCUUUUGGGCAUAUAUAGCUUCUAAUCGGGUGGUAAUGUCCUUUAUCUCGCACCCCAUCUUAACAUUACGCAUACAACCAAUAGGAGUGAAAG